UACUGUCACAUUUAGCCAGUGCAGUUGGACAAGACUAAGAAACUAGAUGUGUGAAUAUAAUUUAGAGGAAGAGGAAAAACUAUUUCUACUUGCAAAGUAGAACAUGUGAUACCCAGGAGGUCACAGUGUGGUAGGCUAAAUUAUGACCCCCAUAUAGGUCCACAGCCUGAUCAUUGGAAUGUCUGAAUAUGGGACCUUUGCCUGGCAAAAGAACUUUGCAGAUGUAAUUGAAUUAAGGCUUUUGGGAUGAGGAGAUCAUCUUAGAUAAUCUGGAUGUGUUUCCUGUAAUCACAAGGCUCCUUAUCAGAGGGACGCAGGAAGAGUCCGUCAGAUAGAAGGUGAUAUAACAAGGAAGCAGAAGGCUAGAGAGAAAGAAAUUUGAAGAUGCUUUACUGCUGGCUUGAAGAUGGACAAAGGGAGCAAUGAGCCAAAGGACAAGCAAGGCCUGUAGAAGCUAAAAUAGCAAACAGAGGGGCACCUGAAAGUGUUAGACCAGAAGAUACCACUGAGGAAGGAAUGUUUAAAGUGGAAUGAUACAUUUCCAACAGAACAUAAACAACAAAAUACUUAAUAUGCAGUCCAGACUGAAAUGUGUAAUGAAAAUAGUUGGAUAUUAAAGAAUUCAAGAGUGAGAGGCAUCAGCAAGGAGGACCUCCUCCUUAUUAUUGAGAUUUUCCUGACAUCAAUGUAUCCUUUUGAGUAUAUUAUCGUAUCUCUUAACAUUUCUGUUUCAUCCUUGACCUGAGACUUUUUUUUUUUUUUUUAAUCUUGAGAUAAUUCUUGGCUUUGUCAAGGCUACUGGUGACAAAAGCAUUAGCAAGCAGGUGCAGAGUGCUUUUUCCACCAAAGAAGAGACAUUGUACUCUUUUUGGGGUUAUAUUAAUGACUAAAUCUGAGAAAUUAGAAAUGCAUUUGCUGAAUUGAAGAACCCAUUAGAGACUCUCAACAGGAGAAUGGGUCUUGCUGAGGAGUCAGUGACCUCUCAGGCCAGCUAUUUGAAAAUACAAAGUCAGAGGAAAAAAACGAAAAAAAGAAUGAAAAUGAAUUAAGACUGCCUACGAGAUACAGAAAAUUACCUCAAAAGACUAAAUCUGAGUUAUCAGUGCUCAAAAGGGAAUCAAACAAGAGCAAGUGGUAGAAAGUUUUUUCAAGGAAAGAAUAACAGAAAACUUACCAACUCUUGAGAUAGAUAUACAUAUCUAGGUACAGGAAGAUCUGAGAGCACCAAGCAGAUUCAACUCAAAUAAGAAUACCAUAAGACACUGAAUAAUCAGACUGUCAAAGGUCAAGGACAAAGAGAGAAUACUAAAGGCAGCAAGAGAAGAAAAGCAAAUAACAUAUAAAGGAAUUCCAAUCCAUCUGGCAGCAGAUUUCACAAUGGAAAUCUUAUAGGCCAGCGGGGAGUGGAACAUGUUCAAAAGCUCAAAGAAGAAAACUGAUAUGAAAGAAUAUUGCAUUCAGCAAAAUUAUCCUUCAGAUAUGAAGGAGAAAUAAAGUUUUUCCAAGACAAUCAAAAACUGAGAAAAUUUACCAUCGCCAGACCCAUUGCAAGAAAUACUAAAGGGAGUUCUUCAAUCUGAAAGAACUGAAAAAAAAAAAAAAACUAAUAUGCAAAAAGAAAAUUUUGCAAUGUAUAAAACACAAUGGUAAGUUUAAGUAUAGAGACAAACCCGGAAUACUCUAUUGCUGUAAUUGUGGUGUGCAUUCCACUCCUAACUCUAGUAUGAAGUUUAGAAGACAAAUAUAUCAAAAACCAUAGUAGGUUACAGCAACCUGUUAAGAGAUAGAUAACAAAUAAAUAUGUAAAUAGAGACAAGUAACCCAAAAUAUGAGUCACAUAAAGUGUGUAUAUAUAUAAUAUAUAUAUAUACACACUUUAUAUAUAAGUAUAUAUAUAUACACACUUUAUAUAUAAGUAAAUAUAUACACACUUUAUAUAUAAGUAUAUAUAUAUAUAUUUGUAUUUUUACCUUUAUAUCUAUUCUUAAUUGUGAUCUAAGACAAAUUUUCAUCUAAUUGAAAAACAUAUCUAUGAGAUGUUUUUGUAAGCCUCAUGGCAACAACAAUGCAAAAACCUAUAAUAGAUUAAAAAAAGCAAUAAAUGAAAACAUGUAACCAGAGAAAAUCACUUAACCACAAAGAAAUACAGGAAGAAAGGGGCCGGGCGCCGUGGCUCACACCUGUAAUCCCAGUACUUUGGGAGGCAGAGGCAGGCAGAUCACGAGGUCAGGAGAUCGAGACCACCCUGGCUAACACGGUGAAACCCCAUCUCUACUAAAAAUACAAAAAAUUAGCAGGCGUGGUGGCGGGAGCCUGUAGUCCCAGCUACUCGGGAGGCUGAGGCAGGAGAAUGGCGUGAACACGGGGGGCAGAGCUUGCAGUGAGCUGAGAUCCUGCCACUGCACUCCAGCCUGGGCGACAGAGAGAGACUCCGUCUCAAAAAAAAAAAAAAAAAAAAAGAAGAAGAAAUACAGGAUGAAAGGAAGACAGGAAAAAAGAAAGAGAGGAGUAGAAAUCGCAAAUAAACCAGAAUGCAAGCAACAAAAUGGCAGUGGUGAGAUCUUACUUAUCAAUAAGAAUGCUGAAUGUAAAUGAUCUGAAUACCCUAAGUCAAAGGCGUGAAGUAGCUAAACAGAUAAAGAAACAUGACCCAACCAUAUUCUGGCUUCAAGAAAACCAAUUCACCCUUAAAAACACACAUAGUCUGAAAAUGAAGGGAUGAAAAAAAUAGUCCAUGCUACUGGAAACCAAAAAAGAGCAGGAGCAGCUAUACAUUUAUUGAAUAAAAUAGACUACAAAACUAAUAUUCCAGAAAGAGACAAAUAAGGUUAGAAAAUGGUGAUAAAGGAGUCAAUUCAUUAGGAGGUUAUAUUACAAAUAUUUAUGCACCCAACAUCAGAGCUUCCAAGUACAUAAAGCAAAGAAUAAUAGAUCUAAAGGGAGAGAUAGAGUGUAAUGCAAUAAUAUUGGGGGAUUUUAAUACCUCACUCUCAAUAAUGGACAGAUCAUUCAGACAGAAAAUGAACAAGGAAACAGUGCAUUUAAACUACACAAUAUAUCUAAUAGGCUUAACUGACAUUUACAGAACAUUUCACCCAAUUGCUGCAGAAUACACAUUCUUUUCAUCACCACAUGGAACAUUUUCUAGAAUAGACCAUAUAUCAGGCCAUAAAACAAGACUAAGCAAAUUCAAAAAAUAGAAAUUAUAUCUAGUGCCUUUUCUCACCAAAAUGGAAUAAAACUAGAAAUCAGUUACAAGAAGAACCUUGAUAAAUAAGCUAAUAUAUGGAAAUUAAACAACAUGCUCCUGAAUGACUAAAGGGUGAAUAAAAAAAUUAAGAAGACAACUUCUUAAAAUAGAUUAGAUUGAAAAAAGAAAUGCAACAUACCAAAACCAUGUGUUACAGCAAAAGCAGUGCAGUAAGAAGUUUAUAGCAAUAAACAACUAUAUCAAAUAAGUAGAAAGACUUCAAAUAAAAAACUUAAUAAUGUACCUCAACCAUUAGAAAUACAAAAACAAAAAAAAUCCAAAAUUAGCAGAAGGAAAGAUAAUAAAUAUCUGAGCAGAAAUAAGUGAAAUUGCGACUGAAAUCAAUACAGAAGCUUAAUGAAACAAAAAGUUGGUUUUUUGAAAAGGUAAACAAAAUUGACAAAACUUUGAACAAAGAGAAAAGAACCAAAUAAAUAAAAUUAGAAAUGAAAAAGGAUGCAUACCUGAGACCUCAAAAAUAUGAAGAGUUUUCAGAGACUGUUCUGAAUAACUAUAUACCAACAAAUUGGAUAACCUAGAAGAAAUAAGUUCCUGGAAACAUACAACCUACAUAGAUUGAACCCUGAAGAAACUGAAAACCUCAACAAAUUAAUAACGAGUAACAAGAUCUAAACUGUAGUAAAAAAAAAAAAAAAAAAAAAAAAAAGCUUCCCAUAAAAGUAAAUCUCAGGACCUGAUGGCUUCACUGCUGAAUUUAACCCAUCAUUUAAAGAACUAAUACCAAUCCUACUCAACUCAACAAUAAAUUAAAGAGAAGAGAAUAUUUCCAAACUCAUUCUAUGAGGCCAUUACCACGAUACCAAAACCAGACAAGAAUACAACAAAAAAGAAAACUACAGGCCAAUAACAUUGAUGAACACAGAUGCAAAUUCCUCAACAAAAUACUAGCAAACCAAAUUCAACAACACAUUAAAAAGACAAUUCACCAUGGUCAAGUGAGAUUUAGUCCAGGAAUACAAGAAUAGUUAAACAUACACCAAUCUGUAAAUGUGACAUUCCACAUUAAGAGAAUUAAGAACAAAAAUCAUAUUAUUAUUUCAAUAGGUAGACAAAACCCAGUUGAUAUAACAUUGCUUUAUUAAAAACCCUAAUCAAAACGGUUAUAGAAGAAACAUAUCUCAAAAUAAUAAAGGCCAUACAUGACAAACCCAGAGUUAGUAUUCUGAGCAGGGAAAAAUUAAAGUCCCUUCUUCUAAGGACUGGAACAAGACAGGAUGCCCACUUUCCCCAUUUUUAUUUCAUGUAACACAGAAAGUCCUGGUUAGAAUGAUUAGGCAAGAGAAAGAAAUAACAGUCAUCUAAAUUGGAAAAGAAGAAACCAAAUUAGUCUUGUUUGCAGAUGACAUAGUCUUAAACCUAGAAAAACAUGAAGACUAUCACACAUUUUCUAGAAUUGAGAAAUGAGUUUACUAACGUUGCAGGAUACAAAAUCAACAUACAAAAAUCAGUAACAUUUAUAUACAUCAACAAUAAAUAAUCUGAAAAGGAAACCAGUAAAUCAAUCCCUUUAGCAACAAAAAUAUAAAGUAUCUAGGAAUCCUUCUAAUUAAAGGAGUGAAACAUCUCUACAAGAAAAACUAUAAAAUUCUAAUGAAAGAAAUAGAAGGGAACACAAAAAAGUUGGAAAGAUAGUCCAUGCUCAAGGGUUAGAAAAAUUAAUGUUCAAAUGACAAUAUCAACAAAAGCAAUUUACAGAUUUCAUGCAACCCCAAUCAAAAUUUACUACCAAGCCAUCAUAACCAAAAAGAGACAUAUAGACCAAUGGAACAGAAAAUAAAACCCAGAUAUAAAUUCACACAUCUACAGGUAACUCAUUUUCAACGAAGAUACCAAGAGCACACGAUGGAGAAAGGAUAGUCUUCUUAAUAAAUGGUAGCAGGAAAACUGGAUAACUGUCUACUGAAAAAUAAAACUAAAUCCUUAUCUCUCACCAUACACGAAAAUCAAAUAAAAAUGGAUUAAGGAUUUAAAUCUAAGACCUGAAACUAUGAAACUGCUAGAGAAAAAAAAAACACCUGGGAAACAUUCCAGGACACUGGUCUUGGCAAAGACUUUUUGAGUAAGACCUCAAAAGCACAGGCAACCAAAGCAAAAAUAGGCAAAUCCGACUAAAUCAAGCUAAAAAUGCUUCUGUACAGCAAAGGAAACAACCGAUAAAAUAAAGAGACAAUUCCCAGAAAGGGAGAAAAUAUUUGAAAUCUAUCCAUCUGACAAGAUUAAUAACCAUAAUAUAUAAUAAGCUCAAACAAUUCAAUAGCAAAAUAAGAAGAAGAAUCCAAAAUGGGCAAAAUAAUUGAACAGACAUUUCUCAAAAAAGACAUAAAAAUGGCCAACAGGUAUAUUACGAAUUGCUCAACAUCACUAAUCAUCAAAUAAAUGCAAAUCAAACCACAAUGAGAUAUUAUCUUAUACAAGUUAAAAUGGCUUGUCUAAAAAUUACAGACAGUAACAGAUGCUGGCAAAGAUGUGGAGAAUGAGGAACCCUUGUACACUGUUGGUGGGGAUGUAAAUUAUAUAUUUAAAAUACAGUCACUGUGGGGAACAGUAUGGAGGUUCCUCAAAAACUAAAAAUAGAACUAUCAUAUGAUCCAGCCAUUCUACUACUGGGUAUAUAUAUCCAAAAGAAAGGAAAUCAGUAUAUGAAAGAGAUAUAUGCACUGCAUAGUAGCAAAAAUAUGGUAUCAAAGUAAGUGUGCAUCAAUGAAUGAAUGGAUAAAGAAAAUAUGACAUACAUACACACAAUGGAAUAUUAUUCAACCAUAAAAAAGC
rnacentral:lncRNA from 1 species